CCUACGGGAGGCAGCAGUGGGGAAUUUUGGACAAUGGGCGAAAGCCUGAUCCAGCAAUGCCGCGUGAGUGAAGAAGGCCUUCGGGUUGUAAAGCUCUUUUGUCAGGGAAGAAACGGUGAGGGCUAAUAUCCCUUGCUAAUGACGGUACCUGAAGAAUAAGCACCGGCUAACUACGUGCCAGCAGCCGCGGUAAUACGUAGGGUGCAAGCGUUAAUCGGAAUUACUGGGCGUAAAGCGUGCGCAGGCGGUUUUGUAAGUCUGUCGUGAAAUCCCCGGGCUCAACCUGGGAAUUGCGAUGGAGACUGCAAGGCUAGAAUCUGGCAGAGGGGGGUAGAAUUCCACGUGUAGCAGUGAAAUGCGUAGAGAUGUGGAGGAACACCGAUGGCGAAGGCAGCCCCCUGGGUCAAGAUUGACGCUCAUGCACGAAAGCGUGGGGAGCAAACAGGAUUAGAUACCCUGGUAGUCCACGCCCUAAACGAUGUCUACUAGUUGUCGGGUUUUAAUUAACUUGGUAACGCAGCUAACGCGUGAAGUAGACCGCCUGGGGAGUACGGUCGCAAGAUUAAAACUCAAAGUGUAAGUGCGCGNGAGAGCGACGACGACGACGACGAGGAGGAGG
rnacentral:rRNA from 1 species